GAGAAUAACUGAGAUGGUUGAUGAGGAUCCGCUUACUGUAAAAGUUGAUCACCUAAAGGAAAAGCCCUAUAAUAAAGAUGACGAUGUUAUAAAGGCGACCUCAUUUGAAGUUAUAUCUACAUUAAGGGAUGUUUUAAAGACCAGUUCACUUUGGAGAGAUCAUGUCCAAACUUAUACUCAGCAUAUUGGUGAUUUCAAUUAUCCGAGGCUAGCAGAUUUUGGAGCUGCUAUAUCUGGGGCUAACAAGUUGCUGUGCCAGCAAGUGCUUGAAGAACUUGAUNNNNNNNNNNNNNNNNNNNNNNNNNNNNNNNNNNNNNNNNNNNNNNNNNNNNNNNNNNNNNNNNNNNNNNNNNNNNNNNNCUUAAGGUUGACUGAUAGUUACCCUAUAUGAUCAUUUUAUUACAUUGGAUAUGUUAUACAUCGCUAUAGAUAGAUAAGCAAAAAUCAUAUGUUUCAGGUGUUGUAUUACUGCAUGUGCCUUCGAGACAAAAAAUGUGAAGUUUUAGGAAAUAGCAGUAAGAUCUGCAGUAUUGGAUAAAUUAUGAUGGUUGGCAAAUAAAGGAGGCUACAAGCAAGAUUCAGGUAAGCAUCAUAUGGUUGUUAUGUAAUGAAUGAGGAUAGGGUUCGACAUGAGAUUGUUAAAGAAUGUCGAAGCUACCAUAUUUAUUGAUGAAUACUUGUUUUAAAGAUUGAGAUGGUAUGAUGUAUUUGUUGCAAAUAUCUUUGCUUUCCUUGGUUAAGCAAACAAUUUAGAUUUUAGUCAAAGGUGAAGAAAAGUCAAGAUAUUAGAUGAAAGUUGUGAGGAAUGAUUAGGAAAUGCUAGCAGUUGCUAAGGAUGCAACUCUUGACAAAAAAAAAAAACACAUGGCGAAGAAAUUGUUAAAGGUGAUUUUCAAAUAAUAUAUAAACUUGUUGACUAUUGCUGAUUUAUCAUGCUUAGCAGGACAACAAGGAUCAUGGUCAUGGUUUGCUGAAUCAACCCAUACCACCGUCUAUCAGGUGUACCAUGCCUGUAUGGUUUUGAGUUUUGGUUUGAUAUAUGAGCAGAACCACUUUGAAUUGAGCGGAACUACCUCAUACCACCCAAUUCCAUGUUGUACCAACUAUACUACUUGGUUUCAGGCGGUGGUACCAUAGCUAGGCAGAAGAAAAUAUUGUUGCUAUAGUAUUCAUUAUCAUACUGUACUGACUCUACCAUACCGGUAAGGUAUUUGUAUGGCAGUCGGCUUGAUUGUGGUGCUUGGUAUACAUUUUAUAGCUUGAAAUGUCAAUAUUUUCGUGUCAUGAUUUUAAUCCCUUUUCCUACAUAUAUGUAAGCAUGUAUAUUUUGUGAAGCUGCAUAUCCUUGUUGUUAGACCGCAUCAAUAUGGUGGCAAGUAUCUAUGGGUUUGAACACACAUAGAGGGUGAUGUAUCAUAUGAUCUGUUCACAAAAUCCAUUUUAAAUUUCCUUGCAGGAUCCCAAAUUGUUGGCAGCUUUGGUGGAAAAUCGUAAAAGAUCAGUUGCAUAUGCUGGUGCCUUUCUUCUUAAGGAUGAGCCAGGGGCUGAUCCAACUCUUGUAUCUGGUUCAGAAACAGAGAAAAAUAUUUAUGAUCUCAAAGGGAAGGAAUUGUUCAAACGCCUUCAUGAAGUUGGAACCCUGGCCCAGGUAACCUUUUCAACGAUGUAGUGUGUAAAUAAUUUUCAUUUGCUUAUGCAAAUGAAUGUUGAUGUUUAGAAUGAGUCAUUUGCUAACAGUUUUGCUGUCUAGCAUUUGUUUAUAUAGAUAACAAGCAUACAAGGGGAUCAGGUAGUGCUUAUUGGUCACCGGCGUUUGAGAAUAACUGAGAUGGUAAGUUGCUUCGCCAAGGAUGAUUAGUUGCUUUUAUUUGAUUUUUUUGGCAGUAUUCAUGUCUGCGACUUGCAUAAUAACCUUCAUUAUGCAGGUUGAUGAGGAUCCGCUUACUGUAAAAGUUGAUCACCUAAAGGUACAUUUUCUGUUUUCUUCUCUAUUUUCUGAGUCAUCUUACAAUAGUUGGAGUUUGCUGUUCGUAUAUUCCUUGUACCUGUGCUAAUGCUACUUUUGAUAUACACUGGAGAAUGGUGUACUUCCGCCCAACUUAAAUGGAUUCUGGAAGAUCUUCGUCCCUUGUAGUUUCUUAUUAUUGAUUUAAAGGGGCCUAUCUUUGGUUAACCUGGCACAAGAAGGCCAUAAUUAGGUUGUGCCAGUUGCCAGAACUAAAAGUUUACAUAUACUGACUGAAAGAUUGAUACACCUGGAAUGUAAUUGAAAUGAAAGCAACCAAAAACGAGGGCAUGUUCGUUUUUACAGACUAUGCAUGACAUCUGCAGCGCAUUUACCUUCACUUUGCCUUGAAAAACCGGAAGCUCAUGCUUAUAUGGAAAAAAGCAGGUUUUAAUUUGACUCUAUGGACAGGAAGAGCCACAUGACCUGACAGCGUCGAAAUUGUUAUUAGUACUGGAAUUUGUCUCUAGACAUUGCCUUUUUUGGUUUUGUUCCAGUACUUCCAGCUACUUCUAUGAAUCUGUUUUUUCUGCCUAUGAUCAUGCUCAUAGAUAAGCUCUUCAAGUUGUCGUUGGGUUAAUGCAUAUAACAUUUGGAAUCAUUGGAAUGGAUGACUAUAUCUUUUUUGAUAUUUUUGAUUGCUCUUCUGUUACUUCAAAUUUUUCUUAGAUGAUUUAUUCAAUAAUGCCUAGUUUGAGAUCAGAACUAGAUACCCAUUUGCAAUAUUUGACAGUGAUUAUGAUUUAUUGAUGUUCAGUCGGACUUGAGGUUCAUAUACAAUAUCUCUUACUUACUCGAGAAGAUUCCUUCAAUUUGUCUACACUUAAUUGCUGCUAAUUUUGCAGGAAAAGCCCUAUAAUAAAGAUGACGAUGUUAUAAAGGCGACCUCAUUUGAAGUUAUAUCUACAUUAAGGGAUGUUUUAAAGACCAGUUCACUUUGGAGAGAUCAUGUCCAAACUUAUACUCAGGUGACCUUUUUAAAUUGAUUGAAUUUUGUCCAAUUCUUUCAUUACGUUACAUGUCGGCUUCAACUUUGACCAUGGAGACGUCACUCCUAUUUUUCCAGUUAUUUAUUGGCUGAAUAGCUGUUUUUACCCUCUAUAAAACAUCGUGAUAUCUGACUUCUCAAAUUUACAAGGUUGAAGGAAAAAAGAUCAAAGUUCUUACCAAUAUUAAAGCCUAAGUCACUAGCAGAAUAAAGACAACUUAUACAUGCUAUUCUGUAUAGUCAAUGAUCCAUGCAUUUGAAAGUCGCUCUCUACAACCAUGGGUGGUUUGCAUUUUUGGUGGCCAGUUGAAAAGUUCUUAUUGGUGCAUUCUUGACUAGAAUUUUCUCAACCUAACAUUAUCUUAAUAAGAUAAGGAUCAUUUGUAUGCAUAGAUUAUAGUUUAUAUCACAUCUAUCGUUAAUAUUAAGCUCUCUUUUUUGAGUUGAGAUCUCAAGCCUGAAAAGCUUUGGCCUGUAAAUUUUGUGAGUUGAUUAUUAGUUUAUACGAUCGAAUGCUUUUCAAAUAUUAUGAUUGAAAUGUUACAACUAAAUUUUGCUGUAAAAGAAUCACUUCUCAUUUUUAACUUUUCUUCACAACCUCAGCAUAUUGGUGAUUUCAAUUAUCCGAGGCUAGCAGAUUUUGGAGCUGCUAUAUCUGGGGCUAACAAGUUGCUGUGCCAGCAAGUGCUUGAAGAACUUGAUGUAAGUAACAAACUUGUGAUUUAUAAAUGUCAAUAAUACAGCAAAUAAGGAUUUAAGUACCAGUGGUCCAGUACAUGCGAUUUGUCCUGAUCGUACCGAUAAGGUAUGGGUGACAAUACACCUCCCAUACCAUUAGCAUACUCAUGCAUGGUAAUUUACCUAUAUUUUGUUGUCCCAACCAAGGUACGCUGAACCGGUAUCGGUAGACAUACCGGUCGCCUACCGGACCGGUUCGGACCGGUUUAUACUGGUACCGAACUGCCCUUUAUAAAAUAGCGCGCGCGGGUGUGCUGCCCAGUACCGGUGCAAACCGGUUCGGCUCGCACGGGUACAAGACGGACCGGGCUUGUACUGGUGCGAACUGAUCCGAUUCGCACCGAUACGCCUCCGUACCUCUCGGUUCCGGACCCAUAUGGGGGGCCUGAA
rnacentral:lncRNA from 1 species